rnacentral:RNase_P_RNA from 1 species
AAACUCCACCCGGAGCAAGGCCAAAUAGGGGUUCACAUGGUACGGCCCGUACUGAACCCGGGUAGGCUGCUUGAGCCAGUGAGCGAUUGCUGGCCUAGAGGAAUGACUGUCCACGACAGAACCCGGCUUACCGGUCAACUCCCUCG